rnacentral:rRNA from 1 species
AUUGAACGCUGGCGGCAGGCCUAACACAUGCAAGUCGGACGGUAGCACAGAGGAGCUUGCUCCUCGGGUGACGAGUGGCGGACGGGUGAGUAAUGUCUGGGGAUCUGCCCGAUAGAGGGGGAUAACCACUGGAAACGGUGGCUAAUACCGCAUAACGUCGCAAGACCAAAGAGGGGGACCUUCGGGCCUCUCACUAUCGGAUGAACCCAGAUGGGAUUAGCUAGUAGGCGGGGUAACGGCCCACCUAGGCGACGAUCCCUAGCUGGUCUGAGAGGAUGACCAGCCACACUGGAACUGAGACACGGUCCAGACUCCUACGGGAGGCAGCAGUGGGGAAUAUUGCACAAUGGGCGCAAGCCUGAUGCAGCCAUGUCGCGUGUAUGAAGAAGGCCUUCGGGUUGUAAAGUACUCUCAGCGGGGAGGAAGGCGACGCGGUUAAUAACCGCGUCGAUUGACGUUACCCGCAGAAGAAGCACCGGCUAACUCCGUGCCAGCAGCCGCAGUAA